GGCGGAGGAAGGUUCUGGAAGCCCGGCGGGUGUCGUGGCGGUUGCUGCCGCCGCUGCGGUUAGGCUUUGUGCCUUUCUGGCCUUUUCCUGUUCUCGGUUAAAUGCGCCUGAAGUGAUUUUGCACUGACUCUCGAUGUGAUGUUAUGAUUCUCGGUCCAGCCUACAAAGCAAACACCCACUUGUAGAAGCUGAGGCGGCGCUCGGAACCGCAGGGCUGCUCCGCGGCGUGGGAGCACUGCGAGUUACAGCCAGCCUUCCGCAUGGCCGCCUCUUCCGCGCGGCGCAGGGUCAUGACGUCACAACGGGGACGGCUUCCCGCGCGUGCAGUGAGUGAGGGCGCGCUGUUGCCAUGGCAACGCAGCCUACGCGCACGGCCUGAAGCAUUCUCGGUCCAGCCUACAAAGCAAACACCCACUUGUAGAAGCUGAGGCGGCGCUCGGAACCGCAGGGCUGCUCCGCGGCGUGGGAGCACUGCGAGUUACAGCCAGCCUUCCGCAUGGCCGCCUCUUCCGCGCGGCGCAGGGUCAUGACGUCACAACGGGGACGGCUUCCCGCGCGUGCAGUGAGUGAGGGCGCGCUGUUGCCAUGGCAACGCAGCCUACGCGCACGGCCUGAAGCAUUCUCGGUCCAGCCUACAAAGCAAACACCCACUUGUAGAAGCUGAGGCGGCGCUCGGAACCGCAGGGCUGCUCCGCGGCGUGGGAGCACUGCGAGUUACAGCCAGCCUUCCGCAUGGCCGCCUCUUCCGCGCGGCGCAGGGUCAUGACGUCACAACGGGGACGGCUUCCCGCGCGUGCAGUGAGUGAGGGCGCGCUGUUGCCAUGGCAACGCAGCCUACGCGCACGGCCUGAAGCAUUCUCGGUCCAGCCUACAAAGCAAACACCCACUUGUAGAAGCUGAGGCGGCGCUCGGAACCGCAGGGCUGCUCCGCGGCGUGGGAGCACUGCGAGUUACAGCCAGCCUUCCGCAUGGCCGCCUCUUCCGCGCGGCGCAGGGUCAUGACGUCACAACGGGGACGGCUUCCCGCGCGUGCAGUGAGUGAGGGCGCGCUGUUGCCAUGGCAACGCAGCCUACGCGCACGGCCUGAAGCAUUCUCGGUCCAGCCUACAAAGCAAACACCCACUUGUAGAAGCUGAGGCGGCGCUCGGAACCGCAGGGCUGCUCCGCAGCGUGGGAGCACUGCGAGUUACAGCCAGCCUUCCGCAUGGCCGCCUCCUCCUCGCGGCGCAUGGUGAUGACGUCACAACGGGGACGGCUUCCCGCGCGUGCAGUGAGUGAGCCAUGCCAUGGCAACGCAGCCUACGCGCACGGCCUGAAGCCCAUGAAUUUGACUCCGAGCAGAUUCUUGACCUAACUUGACCUAACUGCUCCCUCUGCAGAAUGUACUUCAGGGAGCUCCUGAACCCUCUGCUGACCGACCAACUGUAUGAGAAGUUCUCACAAAGCGAGUCUGCCUGUGUCAGAGGAAGAGCUGCCUUCAUGGAGGCACAGAUGUGGAAUUCAUCUUGAACCACACAGAUGUCCUCUUCAGCUCCAAAUCCAGCUCAGUCAUCGGAGAUGGAGCAGAAGAACUUCACCCAACGAGAUGAAGAAAUCACCAGCUGGCAGUUGUCAUUCCUGCUUCAGCCUGGGAAAUCCAUCCUCUGUGGCCAAAUGCAAACUGCAGCACAAUUCCAGGAGGCCUCAGAAAUGGAAGUCAUAGUCCUGGCAGGUGAAUCUUACCGGCUCCAACCCAAAAGACCCAGACCCAGUAGCGGUGCUCUCAAGAAGCAUGAAUUGCUGCACUUCUGAUGGCAACCUUCCAUAAGACAACAGUGAUGGGGAGAAGGAGCUCAUCCACUUGGACAGUCUGCUGCAUAUGAGCCAGCAGUGUGCCCAGGUGGCCAAGGCGGCCAGCAGCAUCCUGGCUUGGAUCCGUAAUGAUGUGGUUAGCACCACUGGAAAAGUCAUCCUGCCCCUGUACUGCGCACUGGUGAGGCCUCACCUCGAGUGCUGUGUUCAGUUUUGGGCACCUCGGUACAGAAGGGAAACCGAGGUACUGGAGCAGGUCCAAAAAAGGGCUACAAGGCUGAUGAAGGGCUUGUGAAGGGCCUGGGGCCCCCCAGCACAAGAAAGACGCAGAGCUCUUGGACCGGGUCCAGAGGAGGGCCACUAAGAUGACCACAGGGCUUUCUUCUCCUCUGAAGAAAGGUUGAGGGAACUGGGCUUGUUCAGCUUGGAGAAGA